GGCCCGCCCCCGAGCGCGGUGUUUGUUUGUGUUCCGGGCAUGGCGGAGCCGGCGGCCGCCCGGGCCCGGCGCGGCGGGACGGGACCGCAGCGGCGACCCCCGCAGCACCCGGCCCGCCCCGGCUGAGGCGCUCUGUGCGGGGCCCAGGGGCCUUCCCAAGGCUCCUCAGGCAGGGAAGAGCUCCCCGUGCUGGUCGCUGGCGUGACCCCAGGGGCACGGUCAGUCUAGGCACAGCGCAGUGAGCCCCAGAGUGGAGCAAAAUCAGCAGCAAGCACUUGGCUUUUGCGUUUCUAAAGGUUUUUUUAUGCGAUGAGCAAGUACUCUAAUGAGCCAUAUAUUUAUCUUCUCUUUUUUACCUUCAUUAAAAUAUAUCCAUACUUGGAUAUAAGUCCAGGUAAGUACUGAUAAAUGCAAAUCUGAGGAUACUGAGUGCCCCCGUGUCACUGUGUUAGUGUGCCAGCACUGACCCACACGGUGUGGGAUAUACGAUGGUCCUGUUAGUGUUCUUUGGUUCCUCAAAAUGCAUCCUUGGCCUUCAGAGUCACAUAAUGGAAAAUACCUUAAAAUCCAAUUUUUAAAGUGAAGUAUUUUUUAAGGUGAAGCAAAUAUGGUGCAGAUGAGAGCAGCUGCGAAGUCCAGUCUGUAAAGCCGUACAGCGUGGCUGCUGCUUAUCACUAAGUUGUCUGCUGAUACAGCUUGGGCCUGCUUUGCACCUUCUUGGGUCAGAAUAUCUCCAGACGUGCUGUUCACAGUUAUGUAUUUGCCUCUACAAUCUCUGCUGGUGGACCUCAGUCUGGGAUCAGAGUUUUUGCUGAUUAUCCUUAUGAGUUCAUUCUUGUAGAUUUCAUUUUAUUACUGUUCAGAGUAGUUUAUUUUGCUGCUUAUCAAAGGGUAAGUUAAACAACCCUGGUGUAAAGCCUGUGAUUGCUGCCAUUUAUGGUGCUCUAACGCAGCUUCAGGCUUUUCAAGGAAACAGAAACUGAAAAUUGGGCAGGAUUUUGAGUGUUGCUCAAGAUAGAGAGGCUUUGCAGUGGUGCAUUGUAAAUAAUGACUGUGGUACGUGGCUUGCUCAUUUGGGUGUUUAUCCUAUGAGUCUGUUGGCUUGCUUUAAUAGAAUUAGGCAAGCAAUUGUUGGAGGGGAUCUAGUGAACCACUGCCUCGCCCAGUCAUGAUUUUCAAGGUUAAGGCAAUGUCAGAGCUGUCUGCUGUGAGAACCUGGUGAUGCAACUCCAGCAUUGUCACUGGUAUUUUGAGUUGUGCAGUGGCACUAUUGGGAACAAGAUGAUGGGCAGCUAGAAGGACUGAGUUACGCAGCUGUUAUCUCGUGUUUUGUUUUCUCUCUGAGGCUCGGGCCUGUGUUGUUGAUGUAGUUCAGUGAAAACCACAGGUCACACUGUGCCAUGGUGUGAGGCUGUGAUCACAGUUUUGAUCCUCCACAGUGAGGAGGUGCUGUGGAAACCCGGGGUGCCUCCCUGCUGGCUGACGUGCCAAAAUAGCCUUUCUUUGGAAACCAGAGUGCAAACUGGUCUCAUCCUGAUAUGCAGUCAGGACAUAGGUGGGAUUUCCUCUGCAUCUCAGGGUAGAGAUGUUGCGUUUAUUUACCUUGAGGCCUAGCUCCAGAAGGAAUAGCUGCUAACCCCAGUUAAAACUUUCCCCUUAGUAGGUACAGGAUGCUCCAAAUCUGGGUAUGUUUUUAAAAAUGCAGACUUGUCAAGUGCCAGAAGAGACCUGCUUUUCACGGUGGAUUCACAGAGACCAAAGAGGAAGCAGAGGUUCAUGUUUGGCCUUGCAACAAGACAGACUGCACUUGUGAGAGCUCUGAAGGGGGAAGAGCUACUACCAGUCAUGUCUGGACUCUUUGAAGUUGGGGUGGUUGAAGGCACUGCUUUUCCUGGCCAUUCACUCCUGUUUUGCCAGAUAGGUCAUUAAUAGUGGCUUUGAACCACCGGCUCAAAAGUUGUACAAAGGUCUAGGAGAUGGAAAAUGGAAACAUUUUAGUGUUCACAAAUGUCUUUUAAUAUCCCUGAAUAUGCUGAGAUGUAGCUGUGAGCCUGCUCCUUUUGCUACCACACUUUUUGUAGGUUGGGGACAAGGAAGCAGAGGGAUGGAUCCUCAGAAGGUGUGAUUUAUGAGUAUGGUUUCUUUGCUUUAGCAGAACCAUGGCGUAGUUUAACUGAUUACUUUGAUUCUCUCUGGUUUUUACUUCCUCUACUUAGUUUGGGGAACAAGUAAUAGUCAGAAUGGAUUUUAUAGAGCCUUAAAAUGCUCCUGUAGAGGAAGAAAGAUUCUUGUCGUGGUUUAGGGCUGCACAAAUACUACUGACAGAAAAGAUCAUGCAAAUAUAAAAAUUUGUGUCAGACUAAUAUCAAUACAGAACUGGCAAGGCAAGUCAAUGAAACUUUUCCUCACAUCUCCAACAUUUAAACAGUUGGCUGUAAUCUGUUGUCAGAAUGGAAAUGGGAAAGUUCUGAAGUUUGCCAGUGUACAGAAUUAAUGUUCUGGUACACCUCAAUACAACAAUGUCACACAUGGGUCUGUCCUCACCACCUUGUGGCAGCUAGCAUCUUCUGAGUGAAAUCUCUCUUUCAAAACAGAAUGGAAAUUCAAGAAAAAGAGUUUUAAACUAUGCAGACAAAGUUUAUGUUUUAUUUUACAGGCUUUUGAUAUGAGAGGAGGCAAAUGACACAUUGACAUAUUCUUAAGGCUCAUACGAAGUAGCCAGAGGUGAUGAACUGUUCUACUGAAAAAUCCAUUUCCUUUUGAGUUCAAAAUCUAAAAUCCUCUGGAGACAUAAAAAGUCCUUCUUGUUAGGAGUUCCUCUACAAAACUGACGUCAUAAAUUGCCUAAUUUUUAGAUGAAAGACCCUUUGAUAACACCAUUUUACGUGAUCCAUGUUCAUGUUAUUGUUGGAUAACAUUUUGGAUAUGUUUAAUAUGUCAUGCUUAACAAAAGUUUUCUAAAGACCUUUUCUGUCCUCAGCAUGGAAAAGUUUUUUCACUUCCUUUUCUUCCUUCAAGCUUAUUUUCCCAACACUUAUCAUCUCUCAUUAGGUCUUAUCUUUCUUCUGGGUAGGAUUGUUUUCCCAAUUCAUACACAGAAGCCCAGUUGAUUUCUGAGUGCAAUCUUUCCAUGCCAUGCUACCCAGAGGUUCAGAGAUAACUCUGUUUGCUUGGGUAAUGUUGGUGAAUAGAACACAAUGCAAUUUUAAAACCUUUUUCUGGAAGGAAAAAAAAAAGACUUUGUAUACCUCUGGAGAAUGGAAGUAAAUUACAUUCUUCCAUUAUGUAUGUGAAUCUGAUUAUGAGGAUGGUGGAAUUAAUUUAUGUGGUUAUAAAGAACAUGGCAUCUUCUAAAAUGCACAUGAUUAUUUUUAGUUUUGUUGAUUUUAGCUGAACCUUAGACAUUUCUCAGUGUAUGUUACAAAUGCAUAUUGCUUUCUGAGACAGAGUGAAUGCAGCACUAGAAAGCAAUUAUGGAACUAAUAUAUCUCCCUGAAAUGUACUUUGUGAUGCAGGAUUUUACUCAUGUUUCUAAAAAUUACUUAAACUUCUGCCUAAAUUAUACUGGUAUCACAAAUAUGCCACUUAAAGCAAUUUAUCGCAAAGAUACCAUCUUGGUAAGAAGAAGUAUUCCAUGACUGGCAAGAAUAACUUGCUUUCCUUAAUAACGGUCUUCCCCAGGUCCAAAAUGUUUUUUUUCAGUGAGGAGUGUAAUGUGUGCCUAUCCUGUGCCCUGGGGCACCUGCCCUGUUCUCUGAGCCACAGAGAACAGAAAGAACAUGUAUUUUGGCACUGAAACACCCAAGCAACAAAGCAGACAGUCAUCAUACAAAAAUAACCUCUUCAAACAAACCCUCUGUCACCCAGCUUCCUGGGGAGUUUUGUGUAGGAAUAAUUUUUUUUCCCCUUGUACCACAUGUUGCCACAGUCUCAACUUCAAGAAUGAUCAGAGACCUACAAAACAUGAUCUGAGGGGAAGGAUUGAAAGAAUUGGGGUUGUUUAGUCUGAAGAAAAGGAAGGUGUUGGGAAAAACGGUAAUGAUCUUUCAAAAAUAGAAAAUGUUUCUCUGCAGAGAGAAGGAAUCAGUUUUUCUUUAUGUUCAGUGGGUCUAGGGCAAGAGGUGAUGGACUUGGAGAUUUAAAGUAGAUAUUAGGAAAUUAUUUCAACCUGAAAAUGUAGUUUGGCAGUGAAAAUGAUUAUCUGGGAAUCUCAUUUGCUGAAGGCUUUGAAAGGCAGAUUAGGUCACACGUCUCAGGAAUGGUUUUAGUUGCAGUAGAUUAUAUGGUAAUAACCCCAAAAGGUUCCUGGCUGGUUUAUGAUGUUUUGUUUCUCUCAGGUGAUUUACAGCAGGUGCUUUACUGCUGUGUUAUUUUGAUUCUCACUCUUCUUUGUAUGCUCAGAAAAUGCCAGGAAGAAAAAAUGUCAAUAGGUAAAAAAUUGGGUAAGUAGGAUGGGUGGGGACAUUCCCAGUAGCAGAAUACUACAAAAUCACAGUUCCUGCAGGAAAGCUGGUGUGCUUGAGCAGAGUGUGACAUGCUGACAUGUCCUCCUGACAGGCUUUGGCACACAGGUUUUGGGCUGGCUCUCAACAAGUGGUGGUUAGUCAAUACACAGAAAUCUGUGUUUUAAAUUUUAGUUUGAGCUUCACUAUUUGCUGUAUUUGAGUAUUUCCUGAAUUUGCAUGGAGUGAAUUCUAUCCACAGUUCACCUGAAGCCAAUUUGUUAGACUUCUUGUUCCUCCAGUUCUCUACAACAGUAAGGUAGUACCCAAAGUGCAUGUAAUUCUUUGAAACAGAGUUGAGGAAUUAAUUGUUCUAGUUAAAUAUGCAUUCUGCUGCAAAAUUUAAAACACCUCUUGUUCACCUUCUCCAUACUCUUCCUGUUUUUCUCAUUUUCACCAUUCUUCCUAUAGCCUAAAAUCUCUCUUUUCUUCCUGUAGGUAACUGUAGGUCUUCUGCAAUAACAGAGUGAUAAAAUGACACUUGAAUAGAUGCAUGAGAACCUCGGGAGUGUGAUAUGUCAACUCUGGUUGACAGAGACAACUCUGCCCAAGUCCAAGAUCACCUAUGUCUUUGUCAUUCCUUGACAGAAAACUGCUGAAACUCUUUCUGGAUACUGAUUGAUGGCUACAGGUACUGUGUUCUAAUCCCUUACUGCUGAAAAAAAUUUCCUGAGAUUGCUGUAAGUCAAAUUCUUUAUUAGGUGUUCUGUUUGUAUUGUUAAAGCAAUUUUAGAUACCUGAAAACUUUUAAGUGCUUUGUUUCAGUUUUUCCUUAUGGAUCAUGAUUUGUAAUUCUCUGAGAUGUUUCCCUGCAGCCUCCUUCUUUGGUCCACUUCUCCAGUAAGCAUGGUACCACAAGCUGCACAGAGUGAUUCACUUAAAACCUCAGGGUUUAAUAAAGGAAUAGUAUUUAUAGUGUACAAAAAUGCAAUUGAUCAAAUUUAGUGUCCUUCCAUUUUCCUAACGCAUCAUUGCCUGCAGUUUGUAGCUCUUGCCACUCCCUAUCCUUCUCCAUGUAAUUCCUGCCUACUCAGAUUUUUUUAUUUUAUGCUUCUCCAGAUGAUUAUUCUGAAGGGUACUAUUUUGCACUUCCUGUUGAAGCUCUGGUCUGUGACAGCUUAGCCUGCUGAGUUGCAGCAGAAAAAAUUACUGGAGACUGAUCAGAAGGAAUGUGAGAAGGAACCAUGGAAGAUUUUGUACGAAAAGUAUGAGGUGGUUCUGAACAACUGCCCUUGGGAAAUUCACUUUAUCCUCUGGCCAGAAAUGUUUCUUCUUAACAUUUAAUUUUACUUUUUGAUUAGUCUGUGUUUGUACAGCCUCUUGGAGGGACAGGCUGGAAAUUUGUACCAGUAUUUGCUUUUGUAUGCUCAAACACUACUGUGUUUCCUGAAAAAUAAUUCUAGAAAACAACUAUAUCAUGCAGAAAACAGAAGUUAUCAUAAAUUAAACCUCUGACAGUAUGGAAAGGAAUACAAGAAGGUAAUUGUGCAAUUCCUUAGUCUGUUCUGAUUUUGGUUGUGUGGAGAUUCCUAUAAGGCAUGAAAAUCUUGCUUGUUUACUUACAUGACAAAAGAGGAGAAAGGCCCUUUAUUUUAGCAGAACAUACUGUUUAAACAAACACCACAGUGAAACAAGACAGCUAAAGGUACUACAAGUCUAUUUUUUUAAUGUUUAGAAAUUUUUGUGUCUAAAAAUAAAUUAUUUUUCUUUUCAUUUACUGUGAAGUGCAUGCCUACAAUUACUUUUUGUAACAGCAAGCUGUUUCCUCUUUCAGUUAAGUUUACAAAAAUUACACACUCUGUGAAGCUACUUUAACUUUUAUUUGGAGGCAUUAUCAUCUUAGCAGUGGACUUGCACGCUGCUUCAGAUAUUCUGAAGGCUGCAUAUUGACUUAGAAAAUGUCUCAAAAACCACAGGCACACCAUUUGUUGUUUUGGUACGUGUGCUGUUCCACAAACACUCCUUUAGACAUAGGGGACUGCACAGAAUCUCUGUGAGACACAGGGUGAUUGCAAUGGUGCAUUUUGCCUCUGGCGUACAAGCUAUACACCAGCACAGUGCAAGGGUUAAGGACAAGAUAAAAUCACUUGCUGCUGUUUUGGUUUCCUGAGGGGUUGUUGUUUUUACAUGAGAAAUGAGGAAUGCAGUGAGGACCAUUCCUGUGCCAAAAUUUCAAAGUAUAUUCCUGUCAACUGUGGUGCCGUUCGUAGGUUUUACAUCAGUCUUAAAUUCGGAUCUAAGAUCUCUGUUGUAGAAGCCCCAUCUUGUGGACAACCAAUCAAUGACUACUUCAGCACAACUGAAAUUUGAAAUAUUUAGAAAAUCUGGAGAUAUUUUGGUAGUUUUUGCAACAAACUGGAGAGUCUUCAUAUUUCUGGACAAUAUGGAAACUUCAUUCAUGUAUAGAAAUCAGCAUGUGCUUUUCAAAGACUAUUUCCACAGGAAUAAAUUGUGGAUUGCAGAGAGGUAUUAACACUGGGGUGGAACCAAGGAUGGUACCCUCAGAACCUUAAGUCCAAAUCAGCUAAAACACAAGCCUGAAUCCUGCCUUGAAUUCCCAAAAUAGUGUCCUUUAGCACUUGGAUAGUACAAAUGAGUCUUUAGUGGCAAAAUAAAAAAUAAGGGCAGGAGGAUAUCUUUUGAAAAAAAUUGUUAAGAGAGAAAGAAUAGCAAAGUAUGCAUGAAAACUGAAUGUGGAAAAUUUGGAAAUAUCCUUAAGGAGGGUGUUUGUUUCAGCACAAAGUAGUGGAUGAGGUCAGCAACUCCAGACUCAGUGAGUCAACACACUUAGUAGGAAGUAAAAAGAGUGUGAAAACAAGACUGUGAUAAAAGCUAUUUUCAGGUUUCAGUAUGACCUUGGUAGGCUAUAUUAGAUAUAUAUUCUAUUAAAUAGAAUAACAUAUACAUAUAAUUAGAAGGUCUUUUUAUUGCUCUGAAGAAAUUGAGUUGCUCUAUGACAGUUUUCUGUUUCUUCCAUAUGAAGAAGGUAGGAUCCUUCCUGAUAGCUUUCCAUGUAGUAAUUAAGGCUGUAACGAAGGGGCCAGAAAAUGUGGCGACAUCUAGGGAAAGGUUGGCAGAAGUGCCUCCAACUGAAACACCUCUCACUGAAGUCGUGGCCACUUUUCCUGUGAAGGGGAUGUAUCCAGGGAAAUUUUUAUUGGAGUGGCUUAUUUAGAAGGGAUGCCAACAGUAAAGAAGAUUCUGGCAUGUGAACAGGGUGCCAUUGCAGCCCUUUUGAUGGGAGCAGGACAGGGGUUGCUUUUCCUACACGUAGAUGUUUUACUGAGCAAUGGGAUUAGUGGGGCAGAAGUUCAGCAUUUGGUCAUUGCAAAGCCAGGAAAUAAUUUCUUAGUCCUUACCAAUAGUAGUCUGGAUGAAUCUUCACUUUUAAGACAUACCAUACAGCUACUUAGAAUUCCCUUCAUUUAAAUAAUAAAGCAUGAAUAGUUCAGCAAGAGGAGUACAGACAGAUAUUAUUAGUAUGGUGUGAAAUCUAGAGGAGCUACAGCCUAGGAAAAGAAAAUGAAGAUGUAAAGAUUGUCAUAAAAGGGUGUUGGAAGGCAAGGAUUUAUUCCAGCAGUGCCAAGGAGGCGAAUAAAAGCUGCUCAAUCCCUUCUCUACCAGGUGAGUUCAUUGUAGUACAAAGGACAGGUCUUGGUGUAAAGGAUAAACUAUUGCCUUAUUCUGAUCAGAAGGCUCUAGAAAAAGUAAUUAUUGGUAAAAGCAAAGUCUGUGAAGGAGUAGAAGAAAAGGGUAUAAUUCAGUGAUACUUCUUGUAUUAGAUUGUAUUAUAAAUUACAGGUGUUUGUUUAUGCCCAUCUGAUAAGGAAGGGAAUUGAUUACAUCAAGACCUUGUACCUUCCCAGCUUAGGUACAAUAAAAUGUUCAGUUGCAGAGAAUUCCUUGCUAAAAGGGGCAGAGUAGUAUUUAUCUCUCACAUUAAUAGAUUUUUUCAAGAAAAUACAGCAGAACUGGAAACUUGAAGUGUAAACCUGCAGUAAUCCACUGUCAGAAGAAUUGUGUAGGUGUAUAAAAUUGAUUUCAAAGGGAAUGAAGAGGUGUGACUUGUGAAUUGCUACUUUUUAAAGAUGAAAAAUUAGUUCAUAUGUAGAUCAUGUUAAAAAAAGAAAGUAAUUUUUCAUCCUUAUCUCUUUAUUAUGCACUUUUUUAUAGAUGUUUUCUUUGGUUGCCUGUAGCCUUUCUGCUAUUUUAAAUAUUCUCCAAAUUUUAUUGGGAUAAAAAUGUUAAGAGAUGUAAUAAUACUGAUAUAUCAAGUGAUUUAGCAUUAAAAAAAGACAGAUUUUCAGUGGCCAUUUGAAAACAAGGCUUGAUGUGUUAUGUCAAUACAAAACUAAAUCUAUGCAGUUGAACCUUGAGCACUUGUGUUUGUAAUGUAUAAAAGUGUUCUUUGAAAGCUGUCUCUGUCUUGUGUCCCUUUCUCUUCCAGCCCAGCCUCUUUGUCCAGAGCUGUGGUGGUGCCACAUUUCUGUGGCCCCAUUGCACCAGUCACCACCAGAGGAUCCACUUCCCCAGGGAUGGAUCCUGGUGCCUGUGCUGCAUCAGCCAGGAGAGGAGAAGGACAGACCCCUGCUGUCACCAAGGACACCCAAAUCUCUCCUGAGCCUCAUCCAAAAAGGUUCCAUAAUGUACAGUUCCUUAUGGCAGGACACUUCUGCUAUUGUUUUGAGCAUUUUAAAAUGUUAUCAGGCAAUAAUUGCUAUCACAACUUUUAAUUCUGUGUUUCUGUUUCAAAUUUUCCUCAGUUCAAUCAGAACCAAAAGUUAAUGCCCAUUGGCUAAUUUCCAGUGCAUGCCUCCACAGAACAACUGCUGCCUUUAACUGGUGGAGAGAUCAAGGCUUGAACUGACAAAAGACAUCUGUAUUUUGGAAAACAAAUUAAUGUUUAUGUUUUAAUUUAUAAGUUCCUGGCUCUUUUAUGGUUCCUGUUUUUCAAGUAAUGUCUCUUUGGAUCCCUAGCUGAUGGAGAGUCAAAAUGGAAAAGGCCCAUGAGAGAAUUAUCACAAUAGAACAUCUGGUCUGCAUUGGAAAAAGCUGAGAAAGAUAUUCAACAUCCCUGAGACUGAGGCAGCCAUGAGGCAGUUUGAAAGUCAGUCCAUGAAAAAUUGUGCAGGUUGUAGCCACCUGGGCCAAUCUAGUGUUGUUUUGGGAAGAGCUACUCUGCUCAUGAGCAUAUGAAUUUUAAUCUCCCAUAAGCAUGGAUAUGUGAGAGCUGGGAGUGGUAUGAAAGGUGUUUGCUUUCCAUAAUGUUAAUCUGAGUCCCAGCAUUGUCCUAAUUAUAUUGUGGGUUUUUGCCAGUCUCCCAGAUUUCUUUUGAGCAUGUAGGCUGGAGUCAAAAGGCUUUCCCAGGGCUUUUGGCAUAGCUUUACAGGAAAGUGGAUGGAAAGGACUUUGUAUAUUUUUGGAAGAAUAUUUUGCAUCCUGCUUUAAACUAUUCCAGAAGGUAAAAGGACAUUAGCUAGACUGUGUGUUGGCUCAUGUACUGCUAUGUCACUAAUGAGAAGGAAUUUUUUUCCUGUUUUCUGCAGUCACAGACUGUAAGAAAUGCAAAGAAAUCAUGGGCCAGCCAGGGUAGUAAAGGUACCCCUGGAUUCAGAGGGAGCAAACUCCUUCCACCACAUGAAACUUUGGUCCUUUAAGUCAUUAUAGCUCAUGCAGAACAGAAACAAUUUGACAUGUAUAACAAGAAACAUUGCAAAUUGUUUGCCAAACAAAGACUUAUACUGCAGAUGGAAGAACUGAUGAAAAUUGUUUAUAGAUGGGGAACUAAAUGUAGAUUUUUCAAGAACAAGGUUGCUGUCUUCCUUGCCAAGACAAACAAAUCUGAUAGACCAUCUCAUUGCUUUAGACUGCCUGAGGACCCACUAGAAAGUCUAUGGACCUUUUUCCACAGAAAAUUUGUGUAUUGUCAAUACAUAAGUGUAUUGUCCACAGUUACACUGUGGCAGCUGCAGAGGAAGUGGAAGGUUCUCAGGAAUACAUUAGGGAGAACUGGAUUUUUGGCUUCUGAAACAGUGUGGAGUGCUUUUGGAAACUGUGGAAGUUUAUAAGCUGGAUGUUAAUGCUACAAAAGGUUAUCUGUGAGUUAAAUAUAAUAGUAAUUAAACUGCUGACUUUAAAUCUUAACACUAACAACACAAUGAAAUUGAGAAUUGCUAUCUUCUAGAAUUGCAGUUUCCAAGAUGCCUUCAUUCCUGUGAACCUACCCUGGUCUGCAUUUAGAGAUUUUCAGUGUUACCUUUAGAAAUCUGUGCACAGAUGUUUUUACAAAGCACUGUGUAAUCAUCCCAAACAAUGGUUUUAAUGGGCCAGUUAUUUGGGAAAUCAUGUAAUGAGAACAUAAAUACAAUCCCUGAUACUGACAUAAAACAUGUAUUAGCAAAAUAAUAUAGUUUGUAUUUCCUUGAUAUAGAGCAGACCCUGGAAAUACGUAACUCAUCAUGUCCUUAAAAUUCUGUUAUAUCUGUAAACAUGUAUAUUGGCAGAGAGGCCCAGCAGCAUCCUGGGCUGCAUUAGGAAGAGCUUUGCUAGGAAGUCAAAGGAGGUGAUCAUUCCCCUUUGCCCAGCACUGGUGAGACUUCAGUGGGAGUGUUGUGCCCAGUUCUGGGCUCCUCACAGCAGGAAGGACAUGGAAAUGCUGGAGGGAGGGCAGGAAAGGGCUGUGAGGGUGGACAAGAGGAGCGUGUGUCCUGUGGCUGCCCAGGGAGGUUUUGAAGUUGACAUCAUUGAAGAAACUCCAAACUCAACUGAGCAAGGUCCCAAGCACCCUGCCCUGGGUGAUCCAGCUUUGAGCUGGGCUUGGGCUGAGUGAUCUCUGUUGAUGCUUCCAGACUGGGAAUAUUUGAAGCACUUUGCUUGUGUCUUGUCAGUGUUUUAGCUGCAACUUGACUGUGGAGAAAUCCUAAGGAGAACAAAGGCUGUGACCCCAGAAAUUCAUCCAGAUGGCUGAGGCCCAGAAAAGGCAUAAUGGGAGCUGCUAAGUAUUCUGAAUAUCUCAUCAGAGUGAUAUUUCACUUAAAAAUACAAAAUAGAAAUUACUGGGGUCUUAAUGACACUGAAUACUCAUAAUGUUCUCUCACUUCAGCUGGACUGCAGAUGGUAACAGCCUCUCUCUAUCUGAACACACUUUUUUUAGUUUAACCUUGCUCUGUAAAAUCUUCACACAUAUUUUACUCUAGAAAUUAAUACUUGGUGCUUUACAGUGCAGAAUUUAUUUGCUGGUUUUUUCUAUGCUUUCUUUCCUUACUACUUUGUUACUGAUAUUAACAAAUUACAAUCUAUUUUGACAUAUUUCUUCAGCACAUACUAUGUCUCAAGGAAUUAAAAAUAUCAUAAUUUGAGCAAGGUAACAUCAAAAUAUAUAAUUACAUUAUAUAUUCUAUGGCAUUUAGUUUGUAGCUAUUCUUAUAGUACCUUCAAAAUAAGAAGGAAGACGAAAUUCAAAAAGGGCUUUCAUAGUUUAAAAAUAUUUAUGUUGAAACAAGAUUUAUGUUGAAAGGCAAAGAUAACUUUUUUUUUAAAUCAGCUGAAUGGUGAUAGGAAGAUUCACCUGUGGUUUUUUUCUUUAUGAAAAUGCUAAGAAGCUAACUUAUAGCAUUGAGAAUUCCCAGAUCCUUCUUUUGAAAAUUCUUUGUCUUUUAUAUUCUUCUUAAGGAAAGAGGAAAGCACACUGGAAAACAAGAAAUUGAAUAACAUUGAACAAGUAAUUAGGAAAUAAAUAGAUUAUAAAGCAUUUUAUUUAAUUUUGGUUUUGCAUUUCAGCAAGUGAAACAAUAAGUAAAUAACCUGUUUCUUUAUUAUCGAUAUAUGGAGAUAUUUUGUGUCUGACAGACCAAGGCAUAAAUGUAUAAGUAACACCUGUGAUAAUUAUUAGAGGACAUUAGAUUUUGCUGGGGAUGAGCCCAUUGUGAAACCACAAAAUUAAGACUUGAGAAGAAAAUAACACAUGAAGGUCAAAGGUACUUAGUCAUUGGUUGCUGUCUCUGCACCACUUUCCCCUGACUUAAUGCUUUUACAGCACAUCCCUGAUUCAGUCUCCGAUAGAGGGUGUGGGAUCCUGUGUGGGAUGGGGUUUUUGGGGGGGAGAGUAUUACUUUAAAUUGACACCUCUAGCAGCAGUUCCUACUUGUACUGGUUCCCUUUUAUAAAUGUGUAACCUAUUAUAUUCUAUCCAAGCCUGGCUGAGCUCCAAGUCACCCAUUUCUCAGUAAUACAGGAAAUUAAAUCUAAUAUCUAAUAAGCGUAGAGGCUUAUGCAACCUUCAUUCCCUGUAAAAAGUAUUAAAUAACAUAAUAAUAUUACCUUGUCUUCUGAUUGCUAGAGAGCUGUGCACUUCGUUUUUUUGUAGACCAAACUGGCUCUGCAUUUGGGCUUGAAGAGUCUGGGUUUAUCCAUCCUUUUUUGCUGACUUGCUGAAUUUCACCUGAAAAAUUCUCCUCUUAUUAAAAGACCUCCUGAAAUGUUCACAUGUUGGGCUUGGUCCCCUUCUCCACUUCUCCCUUUGUUCCCACAGAGGGCUGUGUCCCCCAUGAUCUCAUCCUGGGGGUGUUGCUGCUUUCUCAUUCAUUCUCUCCCAGGAUUUUCCAGCCUGAACAGAUUUCUGCCUGUUUCAUCCCAUUUUCUGAUAAUGCCCACCACAGUUCUGUUGGUGCAGCCUUUAAAAAUGCAGAAAUCUGACUUUAGGCCAUGCAGGUUAGCAAUGUAAUUUCAGGGCUUUGUCUCCUGCAUGUAACCAGUUCAAUAAGUGGACUUAUACUGAAUAAUUUUAAACUGUUACAGCCCUCUGAAACCAUUUCUCUCUUGCUGCUGUAAUACAUAAAGUGACAUAAGGUCACUGAUGCUGUGGAAAUUGGUUUUGGAGUUGAUAUGCUAAUUCAGCAAGAAAUCAGUUCUAGCAGAAAGGCAAAGAAAAUUAUUUUAAUCUGGUGCUAUGCUACUUUGUUAGCUUUUAGGAAAGAGAUAAUUAAAAUAUUCAAGGGAGUUCCAAGUCUGUGGAAAAAGUACCAUUUUGGAGAUUUAAGGUUAUUUUUGCCUCACAGUUUAUUAGCUUCUUUUCUGAAAGCAAGUAAGCUGAAUGUGAUGGACACAAAUGUGACAUUUUCACAUGCUAAAAAAAAUAAGAAAUAAGGUAUUUUUUAAAAUUGAGUUCUGUAUAAGAAUAAACUUGGUUCAGUCUUUUCUGUGUCACUCACCCCAUGUUUACAGUAACAGCUCCUGCAAUUUUGUGGAUGAAGACUUUCAUGCAGAUACAUCCAGUAAUGAGGAUGCAUUAUGCAACUAAUUGCAAUGGAGAACAAAAUCACAUUAAUGGUGCCUGAGGAGAAAGAGAAUCUCUGCACUCAGUAUACAACGCUGCUGUUUGCAGAGGAAGGACACCAGCUGCCCUAGAGUGAGGGAUGAGCUCCUCUGGACAUGGGUUGGCUUUCCUGGCUGCAGUGAUCAGUAUUUCUUUUUAGCAAGUCUGAGAUUGCUCCAAGUCUUCAUCUCCUCCUGCACUUCAUACUAAUGCAGGUUGUAUGUUAUUGAAGAGAGAGAAACAGUAAAUGAAGUUCAAUGUUUUAUUUCAUGCUCCCCAAGGUUACUCAGACACACAGAGAAUGUGUGCUGCACUCAACUUGUAGAUCUUGUGUUAGAAAUCCUGGCUCCCCUGUGCUUUCCUGCUUUGCCUGUAGCUGAUAAGAGUGCUCAGAACAGGAGCCCCCUGUUACCUCAGCUGCAAAAGGCUCUGAGAAUCUAAUGGCCAAGAGAGUGCAAUUUAAAUCUAUUUUUGUUUGGCUUGUGUUUCAGCAAGCAUUUAAAAGAUCCCCCAGUUUAUCUUUGUUAGAGAUUGUUUUUCUUUUGGCUUAGCUUGGGUACCAAUCUCACUGUUGGGUUUACAUUUAUGGAGUGGGACCCAAGGUUUUCUCCAAGCAUUCAGUAUUAUGAUUUUGACCUUGCAAGUCUUGUUGCUUGGGAUAGGUAUAAAAGGAACAAAAGUAGUUUUGAAAGCUGCCUCUCCUCUUGGUGGCAGGCAGAAGAGUUGGUAAAAGCUGCAAAGACAAGUGAGCAAACUAAUGAUGGUAUUUAUUAUACAUUUUAUUUUGUAGGUGUAUUUUUAGGAAUAGUUUUUAAACUGUAAUUAUUUUGCUCGCCUUUAGCAAACCAUGUGUGAGCACAGCUGUUUUUCCAAAAUGCCCGCGUUACUUGCUUUUGGUGCCGCCAGUCGAGUUCUCACGCCACAGAGCAAUGUCCACAAGGUGGUGCCACAGCUAAGAAGUUUGCAACAAAUAAGGCAAAAGUAAUUUGAUAAUUCUGUAUACUUUUUGCGACGGACUAGAGUAUCUGCAUCAUUAAAGAAUUAAAAAUUAUUUCAUAAGAAAAAUAUCACAGGUUUGUAAGCUCUUUUUUUAAACCACUUGUGUGAGCUAAGGUGGGUCUGUCUGCUGAGCGAGAGCAACAUCCACACGCCUGUGACUGUCCUAAAUCCUGUACAAAAAUGAAGAGGCAGCUCAGGGUUUAGCAGUUAGGCUGAUGAGGAGCUGGGUAUUUCCUAGUAGGGUUACCUGUGCUAUAUCACUGGCAUGUGUCUUAUGUUUCUGUUUGGGUCUCUUCAGCAGGAAUCGGCCUGAAUCCUGAGAAGAAGAGUACUUCAUCCACAACUUCAGCCAAGGCAGUUUCCACUUAUCCUGGACUGGCUGUGGUACAUCAGACCCGAAUUUCCUGAGUUUUUUCUGGAGCCAGGGGUAGCCAGGCUCCCUGCCCUAUGCUAAUCAACAGCUGACUGUUAAUUCCAAGGGGUAUGAAGUGCUUACAGAGGGAUCUGCACAGAUGCUCAAGUUUCGGGGCACCUUUCUAGGAAAGAUCAGACUAGAGAAGGUACAAGGCAGUAAUGGGAAAUGUAAGAUGUCACAUGUUCAGUACAGAAAAGACAAUAAAGCUUCCAGGAAAAAGUUGUUUGUAGGGAUCUGGAUGACUUCUGUAUGUCCCAGAAGAGCUGAAGUGCAGCAGGACUUGGCCAUGCCCCUGAGGAGGUGUGUGCCAGUUCUUCAGCUACCUUUGGCCACAUGGUGCUUCUUACACCCCUGCCCUGCACCCCAGUGGCCUCUGCAAUCCAGGUAUUUGUCCUAGCACAAGAAAUACUUCCUGUCAGCUUCUGCAGUGGACAAAUUAAAUUUGAAUUUUUAUUCAUUACAUAAUUUUGUACCAAAAGCAGCAAGAAAAAGGGAUACUUAAAAUACCAUUCAGACAAGCAAUGGUCUUGCCUCCAGCUAGUAUCUCUCUUUGAUAGGCCUGUAUCAGAAAGAGAGAAAUAACAGGGUUUGCAUAAUAUUUCCUCUAAAUUGCUAUUAUUAUUUUUAAACAUAUUAAAAUUCUUCUGGCUAGUAAGAGAUUCAGUGCAAAUUAUGUAUACCCAGGAAAGAUGGUUUGUCCCCCAGUUAUAAAGUAGAAUGAGUUAGAAGCUUAUUUAGUCCAAUUCUAAAGGUUGUCAAAUAACACAAAAGCCACCUAUUUUGUUUUUAAGGGUCAUAUCUAUAAAUUAUAUUUUUAAGUGGUAUACAGUAUUUUGAAACUUUGUAUUGGUUUCAACAUCUGUUUGAAAAAGUCAGUAUCUAACCUGAGAACUAACUAAAAAUAUAAAGUCAUGAACAGGUCAAGUAGAUUUAAUUUCUCAAUCAGUCUGUUGAGUUAGCUUGAACUGAAUCAUGACAGUCAGAGUAUUCCGGUAAGAUUGUUCUGAGUGUAUGGCUGCAGUGUGUCUUGAAAUUAAACUAACAUAUUUCUGGUUUAGUUUGAGCUUUGCUUUUUCUUUAACUUUGCAAAAUUCUUUCAAAAAUGUUUACUUUUCAGAUACUUAGCACACAGUAAAAAUGAUGUUCUAUUCUGAAGGGAAUGAAUGAUAGAGUAUCUGAGAUUAUACAUCUAAGUCUACACAGUGUGGAAACCCCAGGCAGUGAUGAACAAAACCUGCUUCAGCUCUCUGCCUGACUCUUGGUGGCUCAGAAAUGCUCCUGCAGAUGCAGGGCGCUCACCGGAAGCAAUUGAGGAUGGCAGUGGUAUCCUGCAGGAUGUGUGCGACUGCUCCGCGGGGGCUUGAUUUACACGGGGCCACAAUAUAGAUUAUACAUUCUGGUAAUUGUGGUAUUGUUAUUGCUGGGCUGCAUCUCAGCACAGGAAGCACAUAUAAGCACAUUUGAAGUGAUAACAUCCACUCCUGUUUAAAAAGCAUUAUUUUAUUCCUGUACAUAAUACAGCAUUUGCAAGAGAAAAUGGAUAAUUUACUAACUAGUACUUAGCAUUACUUAUAGGGAAAAAGCUGAUUCAUUAUGGGAAGGCCACAACCAGCAUCUACAAAUAAAUCCACUUAAACUUUUUAUCACUUUUUUUUUUUUUUUUUUCAGUAUGAACUGUAAUCCAAGAUCAGGAAGGAGACAAUGCAUUGCCAUCUGAAACACAGCAAAGAUCAAAAUAUGUUUUCAGUGUGCCACCAAAACCACAGUGUUAGGUUUCUGUUAAGGAGAAUGAGUAAUACCAUUCUAGCUGCAAAGGUUGCUGUGAGUGGGUAAAAAUUCCAUCUGACUGAUAGGGCAGAUUAUGCAUUCUGCAAGAAAAUAAAUAAUCCCAGGCAAAAUCUUGCCCUAUUUCUUCAUCUCAAUAAGAAAGCCCACUCACCAUUCCCACUUAGCUGAAUCUGCUCUAUGCAUACUUGCCUAGCUUUAGGAUUCAGGAACAGGUCUGCUCUCCAUCCUACAUCCCCAAACUAGCCCUGUUCAGGAACACAUUGCCUCCAACCUUGGUGUGGAACGAGGCAUCUGUUCCUGCUGCUGCUCCCAGGAUGUGGGAUGUGGGUUGACCCUCAGCUCUGCAGCUGCAGGCAGUGUGUGGAGGCCCCUCUCAGAGCCUCUCUCCCCAUUUCUCUUAAAAAGUGCAGGUUUCAGACCUUUCUGUGCACCCAGGGAAAUUACUGAUCCAGCCAGUGCUCACCCAAGUUCCCUCCUGGAGGGGGUUAUGGAUCUGUUGAGAAGAGGGAUGCAAUAACCAUUUCAAAUUUUGUGUGCCAGCCUAUUCUCCUCAGACAACACAAACUGACUGAACACAGGUAACAUAUUGUGCAUGCUGUGCCUAUUUCUUACUUUCUUUUAUCAGGGAAAAUAGAUUAAAAUUGGUAUUAAGUUUCCUUCUUGUUCCUCCAAUAAUAGAAAAUUACCAGGGAAGAGAAAAUAAAACAGAGAUUUUGUUCUCUGGAAAGGCCUUCCAGCUAAAUUGUAUUUUUUUUUUAAUAUUGUGAAAUAUUCUUGCCUGCCUUAAUAGAUGAGAAAAGUAACAGUAGAACUGUGAAACAAAUUAAUACAUCAAAAAUAUUGACCUGUGGACCAUAGCUAAAUCUAUAUUCUUAUUUGUAAUAGCGUUGCUGAUUGAUAAUACAAUGCUGUGCUGAUGCUGUACUGUAUACAUUGAUUUGUUGAAUUGAUAGUUAUUAUGGGUAAGGUUCUAAACAGACACUAGAACAUAGAAUGAAUGACUGACCUACUAAAGAUCUAAUAAUAAAACAGAUCUAAUAAAAACAUCUAGUAAGAUGUGACAAGCACAUACAUAAAGUAAUCCAAAGCCUAAUGAUUUGUUUUACAGUUUCAUUUUAAAACUUUUUAUUGUUUUCUAUCUAUAUUAUUUAACAUUAAGAAUACAUUUUCCUUUAUAAGUUUUUUAUGCUACUGGUCUGAAAUUUUUGUACAGACAGCCAAACUAACAUUGAACAGAAGUACAGUUUUUCCAGAUGUCAUACCUACAAAAUUUUGAAAUUAUAGUCCUGCUAGUGCCUCCUGAUAUUUAUAUGCCUUUGCAUUGGGGUAGCCUCGUUACUGUCUUUUUUGGAAGUGUCCCCUGCUUAAGUAAGACUUGAUUUACAAAGUAAUGCUAAUAUAUGUUUGAUUUUAAUUAAGAUCUUCACUAUUUUCCUGAAUAGGAAUCUCUGUCCCUAGUUUUAACUUGUAAUACCCUGUUUAACAAAGGAACAACUUCAGUCAUACUGAGAGUACUUAUACAAGUUUUCACAGUUGAUUGCUGGGAUGAGAGCUGUAAAAAUAAAGAUCAGGUGAAGAUCCUUUCUGGGAACACACUAGGACAUGAAUCUCUAUUUUUAUUUUUAGUACAUAAUUCUAUUAAAUAGACAAUAAUAACUUUAAUCAAAUAUAUUUAUAUUUUUGUGUGUCAUUGGAGUCAAACAGCACACCUACAUGGCUCAUGUGUGACUCUUCCUGCAGUACAUUCAGGUUUUGGCUUUCAUUAGGCAGUGAGACAUGUUUCCGGCAAAAAUUUUAUGCAACUUGAAAAGGGGACUCUGAUUUCAUAUGGGAAAUUUAUUUCAUCCCUCUUACAUUACAUCAAAAUCACCUUUAAUCGUGACUAUGGAAAUGAAAAUACCAGGCCACAGGAUUUGCAAUUAACUUGAGACAUACAGAGGAAAUUCUGUAAGUUGCUUUAGUCUCUUUAUUUUGCCUUUUCUGAAAUCUGUCUGAUUUUUGUUUCGUUUAUAAGAGCAAUUGUUAGUGGAAAUGUCUGUUUUUCAAUUGAAGUGCUCUAACAAGCUUUCUGGUCUCACUUGAGCAAUGUAACAGAACACCCAAAACAACUGGGAUGUCUUUAGGUCUUAGAUAUUUUGUUUAAAUAUUCUAUUAAAUAUUUGAGAAGGAAAAAGUUCCUUAAGCAUCAGAAGACAGAGAGUUUAAAGAUCAGACUGAGCCAUGCCUCCUGCAUUUACUUCUCCAAUAAAUCUGUCAGGAUUCUGACCAGCUGGGCUGCCAGAUGUAUUCCUCCACAUUUUGGGUAAGUAAUCACUUGGGCCUGGGAUCUGCUGGACAAAUUAUGCCUGAACCCGUUUGCAGUUAUUUUAGGUGACAUACUAAAGUGGUCAGCAUAAGCUUAGAAGACUUUAUCCAGCACUUUGACAGCAUGCCAGAGGAAAUUCCUUGGGAUUCAGAGUCUAAGAUUUCAUUUCAAUUAAUUGUCAGAAUGAUGAAUAUUAUUUAUUCCACUCUAAGGUGCAUUUUAAUCUAAAACAUGGUCAGACAGUGUCAAUGCAGGCAAAAUGGUAUUUCUUCCUACAUAAAAGCCCAUCUAGAUAUAAUCCAGUUUGCUCUCCUGUCUCUAGAUUUGGUCUGCAAGGAUAACAAGAAUGGAGACUGCAGCUGGCCUAGGAUUCCCUUGCAACUGAACUUCAUAUAAUUAGGCAAGUCAAUUUUCCCACCAAAUAAAAUUAUUAAAAGAAACAACAUUAUGAAUUGAAACUCCUCAAAAUUAUUAAAUUCUGUCCAGUUUGGAAGAGGAGCUUUAUCAGGCAUUGGAGCCCAGUGGGCAGAGUGCUGGGCAUGGAUUGAGAAAUCUGAGUUCUCUUCCAAACUCUCCUGACUUUUAAAUGGCCUUGAGCUGUCACUUCUCUGUGCUGCAGUUUCACAGUCUGUAUGAGCAGGAUAAUAAUCCUCCACAAAGGUUUGAGAGUUGCUGAAGGAUGGAUCUAUAUGAACACAACAUUUCUUGCACUAGCCUGAGCUAGGUGCAGCUGUGGUUAGAGGUGGCCAGGAUUUUCUCAAUUCCUCAUCUACUCCCAGAAAAUCUAGGAAAUUUUCAUUGUUAGACUCCUUGCUUUCAGUUGUCUGUCAAAACACAUUUUCAUGUUAAAGGUCUUUCUUAUCUUCACACCAUUACAAAAUAUCUCCAGAAAAUUUCAUUUUAUUUAGUUAUGCAUUAAUGCUCACAGUUCAUACUCCUGUUAGUGGGAACUGCAAAGUGCCCUGUCAGGAUCAUACAAAUAAUUACUUAACAUAGAUAAUGUAUCUUUGACCUAAAAAAGAAAAGAUUUUUGCAAUAUUAUGAUUAGUAUAUGUGGGGAAAAAAUAUCUGUUGGUUUAUGUUGUAAGUUUGAAAAAUUCCCCUUAAAAGGACAAGAUUUUUUUUUCAAAUUAUAUCUUGAUUUUACACAUUUUGUGUUAAUAGACAACAUGCUCUGUGCACAAAAAGAACAGUCUACUUUCAAAACUGCUGAAUGGUUUGACCUCAAGGGAAUAGAAACUGUUGACUCAUUGUUUUUACUGCAUAUAAUAUUAGUCCUUUGUCACAUCCAGGGAAUGACAUCAUCUUCCUCAUUGUUAGCAGCAGGUUUGAAUAACAGAAAAAGUGCAGCAUUAGUUGUCUGCUGUGUUUGUUCUUAAUAAAUGAAUGGAUAUCUGGUACCAAGAAUCAGAUUUGGGGUUUUGAGUAACAUUUAGAAGAAGUUUGUGCCCAAAGCCUGCAAAGAGCUUUGCUCCUGGCCACCAUCCGCAGGGCAGUGGAGCUGGCUGGAGCACGGAGCCCGCAGAGGGAACAUCACUGAUGGCUCUGGCUGCUCCAAAGUGAUAAGAGGAGGCAGGAAAGAAGAGACUAAGCACAGAAUGAAACAGAUCUGUUCUUCAAGGUCAGCUUAGUAAAAGGAAUCCCUGCACUUCUGUGAAUCAUACUUCUCUGGAAUCUAAAUUUAUGAAAAGUAAUUAUCUGCAAAGAAGUCAUCUCUAGGACACGCAAACAAAAAGGGAACUGGUUAUCUUCAAAAUGCAGCAUUAUAAGUAUUCCAUCCAUUCCAAAUUUUUAUUCAUGUCUAUUAGUCUUCUACUCCCUAUAACUGAAGUAUCUAUGUCCUAGUCUCAGAGAGUAAUUCCUUAUCAGAAGUAUUUUGUUAUAUCUGCUUUAUGGGAGAGGGAUACAUCAUUAUAGAGAGUGAUCAGGCUGGUGGAAUUCAUCUUUGACAUGACAGAUCACCUUCUUCUAUGGCAAAGACUAAGUGUUGCUUCCUGAACAAUAAAUACUGCCAGUGAAAGAGAGAUUCUUUGAAAGUCUGACUAAGUGCCAACUCCUAAUCUGCAUUACCCACUGCCUCGAAGCUUUCCCAGGAAAAUGUGAUUAUUUAACUAUAAAAUUAUACCUUUGUGGUUCCAAAAAUAUUUAUGCUGAAGAUAAAUUCUUGUGUUGAGAGAAUGAAUCAAACUGUAGUUUGAAAAGCUGAAAUCCAUACAGCUGUGAGAGGAGCACCCAUGCAGGAGGCUGGGAAAACUGGAAGCAAUGGGUUAAGGAAUCCAGGAUGGAUUAAUCACAGAGGUCCACAGACCAAGAGUGGACUCAGGCAGGGGCUACACACAUGGAAAUUCUUCUAGAAUACCAGAGCUAAGAAUAAAAAGACAAGCUAUGCUGUAAAAAAUCAGAUCAGACCUUGUUGACUUUAAAGCAGAAGAGAUCUCAUGUAUGAACCUCUUCUCUCAUGCAGGUAGAGAGACCUGCCUUGAUGUACGUGGCUCAGACUGGAACAGGUGCAUCUAUCCCAAUUCCUAUCCCAAACUUAUAUCCUAAUUUAUCUGUUAUGAGAAGUAAGAAAUGCUACACUUUUUUUUUCCUUUGUGUUUCCUACAGUUUUGCUAUUUUCCAGAGUUCAACAUUUCCAAAAGGUCUCAAGUAGCAUGAAUUUUGGUGAGGCCAAAUCACUUGAUUUUCCCUUGCCCUGUUUAGAAGAGGCUUUACUUGGACUAAAGCAAUAAUGCCAGCCAUUUCCCUUCAUCCUUUAAAAUUACUGGCCACCUCUAAAGAACUUGGCCUCUCUUUUGUGUCACUUUUUGACAACUCAUUUGAGUUAAACAGGUUGCUGUGGCCAAAUUAAAUGCUUGGGAAAUGGACCAUACAAUUAAUUUGCAAUAGUAAGUUGUCUCAGCAUCAUUUCUCUUCCUCUCGAGGGGAAUGCUGGCUCAAGCAAAAGAAAAGAUUAACGUAAUAAAAAUAUUCUAAAGACAUCCUGUUAAUUGUCCCAAGCUCAGAUGGUAUUGUCUAUUCUUCUGUUGUGCACAGCCAGCAAACAGUGUAAAAUCCAGAAUUCCUUCCCACCAUGAAAGCAGAGCUUCAGUGCUACAGAAUAAUCCCUGCCUUUCUGGAAAGCAGAUGAAAAUGUGGUGUGGCAGAGCUUUGCUUUGGGUUUCAGAGGUGAGCUCAAAUUUGCCCCAUUUAUGAAUAUAAUAAUAGGACUUGUUAAUUUAAACACAUCAGCAACUUUAAUUGAGGAAAUAAAGAUUUGUCAAAAAAAAAAAAAAGGAAAAUUGCAAGCAAAGUAACAAAUUUGGUGGGGAAAAAAAAAUUUUUCUUCUGAAUAUGCAAAUGAGGCCUCUCUGUGUUUGUUUGGGGACAGAAAACACUUGAGGUUUUAAAUUCAGUCAAACCAGAAACUUUCAUUUACAAAUACAUUUGCAGUGUUGACCUUGAAUAUCACAUUAAGUGGCAACAAAUCUCAUAGAGAAAUAAGUUAAUAUAUCAAAUAAAACUCAGAAAUAGUCACAAGUGACUGAGUGAAGCAAAGCUUGCAGAAGAGUUAGAUUAAACAAGAGGCUGUAAUUCUCUGUUUGCUCUAAAAUUUCCUUAAUAAGGACAAAGUCUGAUUUUUGCUUAUAUGAAAAUAGUCAUAAAAUGUGUAAGAAAACACAGAAUGUUGUUUGCUUCAGUUCCUGUAAACUAAUCAGGCUGGAUGAUGAGUCUUCCUGUAACUGGGAGCACUGCUGAAUACUAUGCAUGAAACCCUGUUCCUCCCCUCAUAAACAGCUCGAGCUUUGCCUAUGUAUCAGUGCAGAAAAAUAAGUAUUGACUUAUUCACAAAUUACUUUUUAGGCAUUGGAUUCCCAGAAAUAUAUUUGUAUAACAGCAUUUAGAAGCAAAUGAAUGUGUUAAUAACCAGGUCUUCUUUCAUUUUAUGGCCUUAAAGACACUUUGAUCUUAUAAAAUCAUGUUUGUCAUCUCAGCUCUGGUGCUCACUUCCUACCUCUUCUUCUAAAAUGAUUUUUUGACAUCAAUUCAAUAUGCCCCUUUUCAUUUUAUUUCAGACUGCAAAUUAAGAUGUUUCUUAAUAAUUUAUCAAACAAACAGGUUUCCUACAAGAUGCUGACUUGUUCUUGGGGUUUUUUUUAUGUCUUUCCAAAAUGAAGUAUUUUGGAUGUGGUACAGUGUGUUCACAUGUCAAACAUGGAUAUUUUAAUUCUGUCACUCCCCAGAACAGUAAAGAGAGAAAAUAAAUCAGAUGUUUUAUCUGAUUGUACUUUGAUCAGGUUUUUCUCUGUUCUCAAAAAGAACAGCAUGGAGCUUCACUUGCUCCACAAAAAGCAUUUUUAGCUCUGAAAAUAUUUUAAAGAUAUCUCAGAAAAGCCAGACCCAACACUUAACAGUUCUACUCAUCUUAAAAAAAGACUCACUGUUUUACCAUGGUCAUAAAUGACCAUUUAGGAUCUCCUGGUAUUUAAUCUCUAUUACAUUAACUGGGAAAAACUUAUGAGUAGGAGGCAAAAUUGGACAAAAUGUCACUUGCCAUAACACUUCUAUCACUGUCCAUCACUGACAUAAGUGGGUGAUGAAAAAUGUCUGUAAUUGUGCUUCUGGGUACAUCCUGAUACAUAGCAAUCUAGGAAAUACUGACACUGUGUGUGACACAGGUGGGAGAGAUGUGUGAGCUUUCCCAUCAGGGAAUUUUGCUGGGUUUGAAGUAUAAAUUGAAACUAAAAAUGUUAGUGAUUAAGUUCAUGGUGGCCAUGAAAGGCUAGAGGCUGUGGGAGGGCUUGUGGUUUUUAACAGAAAAGGCAGAAAAGCCUGUGGGCAAACAAGAAAGUAAUGCUGCCUUCCUUGUGUGAUACUCUUGCUAUAGGCAGAGGAUGUUGCAGAUUGUUCUGAACAUUGAAUAAUUCAAGUAAACAAUACAACUAUGAAAACCCAAAAGUUAGAUUUCAACUGUUUUCCAACUCCUUUGUUACCUUCUCAAAUUAUACUGCAAAGAUCCAGAGCCUAGACCUGUGGGAAGUCUCCAAGGAAAAGUCUGAGGAAGGCAUUUUUCAAAAUAAUUUACCAUUUAGUUUCCUCAGCAGGGUAGAAACUAGAUAGAGCUGUUCUGCCUCGCCUCAGUCUUUCCAUUUAUAGAAAGUAUCCAAUAACAUAUAAACUUUUUUGAAAUGUUUGUGAGACUUCUCUGUGCUCCAAGGGAGCUGGUGUGCUCCAUAUUUAUGAUAUGCACCAAAAAUUAUUUCUCUCUUUUAGUGUCUCCAGUGCAAAAUCAUUACAUUGCCAGGAAUAAAUUAAGCCUGACUUGUGGGGAAAAAAAAAAUUGGAUUCCAUCGUGUGUUUCAUAUUGUACCAUUAUGAAAAUGGUAUAUUAAAUUCAAAUACUUCAAUUGUACCAUUAGAUGUUGUCAUUAUGUGGCUGGCUAAUUGAUAGGUUAUUCAAAUGAACAUUGUAAUUUUAGACUUCUUAGAAGCAUCCAUGUGAAGAAUUUCCAAACUUCAGAGAAGUAAACUGGGUGCUAGGAAGGAAAAACAUGUACUGAGAAUAUUUCCUAAUGCAUGUCACUGAAAAAUCAUUACAUAACUGCCGUGUGCAUUCCGGGACUUGGUGCAGUCUAUUUUUAAUACCCGGUAUGAAAGAACUUCCUGCUACUUUUUCUCUUUAAAAGCUGUUUUGUGGUUCAUUAGAUCAUGUUGUCAGGCCAGGUUUUCUGCUAUCCUUAAACCUCAAUUUUUCCUGGUUUUUAAAAAAAAAAAAAAAAGAGAGAAACUGUAUAAAAAGGAAGAAUGUGCUGAGUGUAAGAUACCUUGGAGAGUAAGGUACAUUGUGUAAGUGUUGCAGCGGUCCCUGAACUGAACACUGUCAGACCAGGCCUAGUAUUAAACCCAAAAGAAAUCUAAACAUAAUAAACACAUGCAUACUUAAGAAAGGCAAAAGAAUUUGUAUGCCAAACAACAGCACCUAGCAAAAAUUUUCAAUUAGGAAAAAAUAUGGGUUUUUUUUUAAUUAGAGUAGUUUUAAUUUCAUACUGAUCUCUGGUGUUAUCACAGGUCACCAUUUUGACCAUAAUUUGGAUAAUCAUGACCAUUAAGAUAAAGCAUUUUGCUUAAAUGCAAUGAAAAAUUUUCAAACACAGGCUGUGCAAGAUCUUUCAGAAUAUUUUAACUGCAGAGAAAGUUUACAGCAUUAGUGGAGUUUUGCUGUUAAAAUCCAGGACAAACAGACUGAUAGAGAUGAGAUGGCCACAGGGACCAACAUUUUUGCCUCCUCUGACUUCUUGCAAAACAAAGGCCACAGGAGCUUCUGGGUUAAUUUAUUUUCAAGCAAGAACAUAUAUUUUAGGCAAUGGUAUAGUCAAGUGACAGAGAACCCACUAAAUCUGCUAAAAGUAUUUAAAACUAUUAAUUUUAUAGACAAAUAAUGUUUGUACUUGCAAAUUAACAAGCAGUUCAUCGUACACUAGAAAGGCCUUCAGUGACUCUCUUCAUUCCAUCCCCAGCAGAGGAAUGGGAUGACAGUUUUUGGUGCCAAACAGCACUGGGUGGUGAUUGCUGUGACUCUUGCUGUGAACCUGCUCUGGAAGUCUCUGGCAGGGAGGCAGUGGAACGUGUCAGCACAGGACUGGAACAGGGCACACCUCAGCUGCCCUCCCACAGCCACCACUGCUGCCCUGAAUCGGAGCUUUCAGUGUAGGGAGCAGCUCCUGAGCUGCCUCAGUUGUCCCAGAAGGCAAACAGUCAGCUGUGGGAGAUGUGGGGCACUUUGGGGACUGUUACAUGAUGCUUUCCCUGGGGCUUGUGAUGGUAAACUGCACUGAUGAGGAUAUUUAGGAACCCCAAAGCUAAUAAAAUAUUUGUUGCUUUGACAUUACCCCACCGGAAGCAAUUCCUUUCACCCUUCACUCUGCUCUCUCUGUAAAAUUUCAUCUUCACAGAAUACUUUUGGAUCAUUUAUUUCCACACUUUUGUAGAUCUUUCAAGUUGGUUUUGUUGCCAAAGAGAAUGGUCCAGUCCUCAACUAUACUGCUCCCAGCCUCAAUUGAGCACACUCUCCUCUCCCUCUUCAUAUCAGAACACUCUGGAAUUAUUUUCCUUUAUUUUCAUUUUUACAUUCAGAGGAAAUAUCUUCACACAAAAAGAUGAAAUCUGACUUAAUUCUGUUUACUCCAAUAAAGUUUUUAUUAAGAAACUCAUUGCAGGUCACUUAAAAGUCUUCCACUGCUCUGCUUAACCUUGUCCAGUGCCUCAAAAUAACAUCUUGUUUUCAGUUGCUUGUCACUGUUUGAGCUGGUAUUUUCCAAGCCAAGCAUCUGCCUCAGGUUUAAUUUUUGGCAGUUGCCAGCUAAACCACUGUAGUAAUUUUCAAGAACAAGGUUAAAAAAAUAUUUUGCCCAUAUUAAAAAAUAAUAAUCUAGUUGCUUCAUUCAGAAGUGCUGGUAUCCCUGUUACAGAAGGAAUUUGAAAUGGAACACCCUCACUGGUCUACCUUCAUCCAUGCACCUUUGAAGCAGCAACUUGGAGUUUGGCAGCACCUCUGCUGUGGUUUCACAGAUGUGCAUCCAAAUGUAAAAAAAGUUAAAAUACUCAAAAAAAGAGAAAAUCUCAGUUUGCAUGUGAUUGGUUAAGAAUAAUUUACUUUUGUAAUUUUGCUGAGUUUUCCAAAGGCCAGCCCAAGCUGGGGGCUUUGCGGAGCGGCUGGGUACGGUGUGUGCCCAAGUGCUCCUCCCUUCCUGUGACACCUGGGUGCCUCUCCUGUGUGCAACACCUCCCUUUCUCCUGCUGAGAAAAGGAGGAUGGGUCACAAAGAUGAAAGAGAUUGGGAGGAUGCCUUCAGCCAGGGAGCAGAAAGUGAGAAGGAGGAGAUGAAGACAGUAGAGUCCAAGGAGACAACUACUGCUGACCAGUAAUAAUUUUCCUCAUGGACAGGAAUCAGUUGUGGAAGCAGUUCUGCAUGACUAGGGAAAAGAAAAUUAUACAUAUUUACAUAAUAAGAUUCUGCUAUGCUAUGGGAAAAGGUCUGAUACAUUGGGUAAGGAGAUUAAUAAGUGUCAUGGAGAUAAAGAUAAGAUGCCAGAGGAAAUAAUUAAGAAAAAAAUAAGAGGUUGGAUGGGCAGCUGAAGCAAGGGAAACUAGGAGAUGAAAAUAGAGUGUGAAGUGUGUAAGAAGGCAGGAGCCAGGAAAUGGAAAGAUGGAUAAACAGUGUGGAAGAGAAAGAGCUGGGAGUUACCUUAUAACAGCACAGAGGAGAAAGAGAAGGCAGGAGCCAGGCAGAAGGAAGAGCAUCAAGGGAAAGAAGGGGUGUGAGUACAGAUUGAACUCUGAGACUAGGCUGAUCUUCUGAGUCAGACAUAAAUGCAAAUUGUGAUUUAUCUGUAAUGGUAUAGGAACAGGAAUCAGGUAUGACUAACAUCUAUAGCCACAUUUUCUUCUCUUGUUAGAGAUCUUUAUCGCAUAUUCUGGAUCUCGUGAGCCAGAGCCCUGGAGUUAAGGUGACCGCAUGUCAUUAUCUGUUUAUUUUUCAGGCUUCCUCUCUCUGAUUUUGUUAACAAACAUUCGAGUGUCUAAAUUACAAUAUAUGGCUUUAUUUUUUUAAUUGUAGUAAGAAGCAUGUCUGCAAAAUCCAUUUGAAAAUGCUACAAGUAAUUUUGAAAUGAUAGGUAGGGCUGCCAGCAGUGUCUCUCACUGGCAGAGGAAAGCAAGGCCCUGCAUUCAGCCUGAUGGCCUUUCACUGUGGGUGUUUGUCCUCUACGAGGGCUUGCACCAUCCCCAUUACAUUCUGUGUAAUUCAUCACAGGGGUCAGCAGCACUGCCUUGGCAAUUUUACCUCCCACCAGGCAGGAACACAGCCUGGAGACACAGGAGCAGAGUGGGAAAGGGAUGGGUGCUGCCCACGGGCAAAGCAGAGCUGGAGGUCACUGAGCAGGAGCCAGGGAGGGGAGUGGGAGGUGUCCUGCCCCGUGGUACUGCUGGAGCUGCAGAGACACCAGUUCUACUCCUCCAGUGGCAAAACAGGGGGAAACAUUGAAAUUUGCCCCUACCAUGGUGAUUUAGCUUGCAAGCAUUUGCCAUUUAUGUUAAAUUCUAAUUUUCUUUAAUAUAAAUGGCAAAUGCUUCCCCACAAACAGUGUGUUUGGUCUGUCACAUUUUCUGCAAGCUGAAGGCAAGCUUUGCAGAACUGAGCUUUACUUUCCUUUUGAGAAUGAAAGCAGCACUGCUGUCAGAAGAUUGAGUUGGUGGUGUGUAUCAGGUGAUAGAAAAAAUUACUCUGCACAUGGUCUGACAUUUUUUAAUAUAUACUUGGGAUCUGCAGAUGUUGAUUUGCUGUCUGUUUAUCUGUUUGUCAUACUGAUAGUUUAAAUCCACAAACUGCGCUUAUACUAACAACUCCUAGGGAGAAGGCUGCUGUUACUGCUUGGUUCCUCCUAAAGAUUAAACAGAGCUAAAAGUUGGUACAUUGACCUCUUGCUUCUUGAGGCAGAUCUCUGUUCAAAUUCUGACCUACGUCCUGGCUAAAAAUGUGUUCAAUUUUUUCUUAAUUUGUAGUAGAUACUUGUGUACAUUACAAAAUCGUCUUGCAAUUUGGCAAAUUAGGUUGUCUGUGGUUAGCUCUGGAAUUGCAGAUAUAUUGCAGUGCACUGCAGCAUUGCAUAAUGAGAUUCCCCAGACUUUCCUUACUCGAGUGAGUAACAGCAAUUCUUAUCUCUAGCGAGCAUCAGAUUCGUCCCAUUUUUGAGAAAAGAAUUAGUAUCAAAUAUACGAUGGGCAUGUUAUGCCUUGUGGCUGCAAUGUUGUUUCAAUUAACUUCCCUGAAUAUACCACAAUGAAAAGUGUCAGCUUUUUGCCUCAGAGGCCUAUAAUUAGAUUAAAUUAAUACUGUUAAUUAUCUACUGCCUUCUUUACACAAAACAGUAUGUUUCCAUAAAUUAAAAUGCUGGUACAGGAAGGAAAUUGUUGUUUUCUGUAAUACAUGCAUACAGUGCUGGAUUCUGAAUACUGUGACUGCAUCAAAGUGUAACACAGCUCUUUGUCUGCAGCCCUUAUUUUACAGGAGCUAAACCAAAUUACAUCUGAAAAAUCCACAGACAGCACACUAUUUUAAAGCAUAUAUAUUGGUGCAAGGAGGUGAUAUUAGUAAAUGUUACAGUGCUCCUGAAACAAAUGCACUCCUCUCUUUAACAGAUGUUCUCUAUAAAAUUCUCUUAGGGAGAUUAAAUACAGCUUUGUUUGUGUACCUACAGUCACACCCUCAAGGACUAUGUUAUGUACAGAGAAAAAACUGCUUUUUCUAGCAGAGUGUACUUCUCCUUUCAGAAAAAAUUUAAAAAUCCAUUCUAUAGGAAGUAUUUAUAAUUAACAGCUUGGUUUCCUGGCCUGUGUAUAUUCCAGCUGGUGUGGUCUGAACAUCUCCUCUGCCUGUUUUCCAGCAUUACUAGAUGCAAGCAAAAGUUCCUGACUGAUCAAUUCAGUCCUAUCCUGGCAUGCCUGAUUUGGAAGUGCAGAUUUUCAAAUGGUGGUACAUCACCUCUAGGGUAACAUAACUGAAGCAGAAAGUACCCUUUUUUGAUUUGACAAAGUGUAUCCCAAUGUCCCUAUUUCUAUCAGAAUAGAUGUUAAUAACUUCAGGCCUGAACAUGGAUCCUCCCUCACCAGAAAAUUACAAUUAACUUUAGCAGAAGCUCUCAUUCAGGCCUGCAAUAUACUCCGCAUAUAAAUGUGAUCUGUACCCAGGACUGCUCUUGUGUUUCAUUAAGGUCAAACCCUGAAAAGCUUUUGAAUACUCAGUGUUCCUACAAGGCAUCGCAUUUUAUUGUGGUGUGUGCUGUGUAUCUUUUCCUUUAAAUCUUCAUUAGCUCCGUGUAUGUAAAAGUGUUCAUUAAAAUAUCAUUGUGCUGGUAAUAAUCUUAAUAUUGAGGAGUGAAGAGGGUUGUGUUGCAGUAGAAAUGCUGCCCCGUUUCCUGCUCUCAGGGUGUAACAGGAGAAAGAAAGACCAUCUUGAUAGGCACUAUCUGCUAAAGGAAAACUUUCAGAGGAGCUGUGAAUUGACUUUAACCUUUUAGUGGCUGCACUGUGAAGAAAAUGUUUCAAGCUUCCUACCCCGAAUUAGGCUUCUUUAAUUUAACAGAUUCGUAAAUGCUAGUGGCCCUUAUAAUUACUGGUACAAAUAUCAGAAAACAGUUACAGAGGAACAAAGAAAUGCAACUGGAAACAUGGUUCAGUGGUCUUGUACUUCCCUGAAAAGCUGAUUAUACUUUUGGCUGAUUCACUUUCUUUCAGAGGGAAUUUACCCUUUCUGGCAGUUUGAGUCUGGUUGCACCAACGGCACAAAAUGUAUCUGGGGAUGAGGAAAUUGGCUCGGGGUCCCCUGUGUGUCAAACUGAAAUUUGCCACCGAGCUCUCAAUUUUGUCUUCUAGCCCCUGAGUGCCCUUUGUUUGGUCAAAUUCAGAAGCCAUUUUAACACUAGAUUAAAAAUAGAGCCAUUUCAAUUGUGCUUUUGCAGGUGCCUUGCCCAAUUCCAUGCUUUCCCUGCAUGACUUAUCUUGUAGGAUAAGCACUAAUCAAAGGUCAAGGUUAUUCUGAAGUAUCCAGCAUAGGAGAGGUCUCUUGUAGAUCCUUAAGCUGAACUUCGCACAAUUAUAACUGAUACAGUGCUGAAAGGUAAUUCAAACAGGGGAAAGGUACAAAAUGACAAGCAGGAACCUUUGGCACUGUAAAAUGUCCCUGGUGAUUUGUACUUAGUGCUUCUUCAAAACGCAGAAGCCAUUUUACCACUCAGAGCCAUGGCAGAAGUGAAUUAUUAUUUUUUUCCGAGUGAGGCUCGGCAGAUCAGGGCUUCCGAGCCAGGCUUGGCACAUCUGGCUCUCAGAAAUGUGCCAUGUACUUUACAUUCGAAGAUAAUUUUCUCGCCUCUGUGACACAGAAGCCAAGAAGCGUGGAUUUUUCCUCCCCCCUCUCUCGCCUGCCUGAUUUUAAAAUGUAACACGAGGUCAUGAGAAGCUCCGGCUGGGAGAUACACCUUGCUACCCAUUUUUUUAAGGAAACCUGGAGACAAACCUGCUCGGUUUUGCUUUCUACGUGAGCUGCGGUGGGGGAAGAUGCUUCUGCAUCCCUGGACGCGGGGCCGGGGGAGGAGAGCCCGGCGCAGCAGCGGGAGCCCCGCCGCCGCCGCCGCCCGGCAGCGGCCACAAAGAUGCGUUAGAAACAUCCCCCCGGCAAGAACGUGGGUCCCUUCUCUGUACUCACUGCGGCUGCGAAAGCACCGGAGUUUCGCUGAGGAGACUCCAGUCCCGGCUGCGGGGAGAGGGAGGAAAGGGAGGGGAAAAGAGAAAAGAGGGGAAAAAAAAAAAAAAGGAAGGAGAAGAUAGGAAAAAAAAAAAAAAAAAAAGGGCGCAGCGCAAGUUGCGGUGGCGGCGGGAGAAGAGAGCGGCGGGGGCGGCCGGGGUGUCCGAGCCCCGGGGCCGCGCAGCGCUGCCCGGCCCGCGGCCGCCCCGGGCCUGUCGGCGGGGACCGGGGCGCAGCGAAGCGGCGGCGGAGCCCGCGGAGGAAACUAAAUAAAUAAAAUCAGACUGUUAUUUAA